rnacentral:lncRNA from 1 species
ACCAACACCAAGUCACCGUCUCCCUCUCUGUCUCCCACUCAUCUUCCCUCUGCAUCCCUCUCUCAAAAGAAAAAACCGUAGCCUCCAUCGCUACUCUCUUCUUCAAGCUAUCACUGCCGCCGUCCUACCGCCGCCGUCGAAUCUGGUCUAGCUGUCGCCCCACUGCUUUAGCGUCGUCUCCGCUCGUCUCAGCCGUCGCGUCGCAUCGCAUCGCAUAUGCUCGAAGCCGCCGUCCCACUGCAACUCGUCUCGUGUCGUUUCUCCGUGGAGCAGCCGCUGUUCCGCCGCGUCGGUUCUGGUCCACCGCGCUCCAGCCCUCCUCUGCUCCAGUUCUGCCGCGCUCCACCCUCCUCUGUUCCAGUUCCACCGCGUUCCACCCUCCACGGCUCCAGUUACGCGACGGUCCAGCCACCCCUUCUCCAGUUCCGCGACGGUCCAACCACUCCUUCUCCAGUUCCUCAACGGUCCAGCCACCUCUUCUCCAGGAACCCUAUGUCUAUACCUUAAUCAUAUAACUGUUUCAAUUUAGAAGAUUCAUAUGCUUCACCCUUUUACUUCUGUUAUGUUGUUGCUCUGUUUACUUUAAUAUUUUUGGUUUUAUUGUGGUUUUUUUUUAUUGAACUUGUUAAGUUGAUAAUUUGCUAAUUUAUUGGGCUGCUGUUGUCUUGAUUUGUUAAAUUGUUGGGUUGCUGUCGCUGAAUUUGUUGGAUUUUUCUAUUCAAGUUUUGUUGUUGUUUGUUUCAUAUACCUAUUAUUGUUCUUCAGAUUAUUGGGUUGCUGUGUUUUUUUUUUUUUAAUUGUUAAUUUGUUGAUUUUUUAAAUUGUUAUUGUGAUUCUUGGGAUAUAGAUUGCUUUUGUUUUUC